GGGCCCGCACAAGCGGUGGAGCAUGUGGUUUAAUUCGACGCAACGCGAAGAACCUUACCUACACUUGACAUCCUCGGAACUUUCUAGAGAUAGAUUGGUGCCUUCGGGAACCGAGUGACAGGUGCUGCAUGGCUGUCGUCAGCUCGUGUCGUGAGAUGUUGGGUUAAGUCCCGUAACGAGCGCAACCCUUAUCCUUAAUUGCCAGCGGUUAGGCCGGGAACUCUAAGGAGACUGCCGAUGACAAAUCGGAGGAAGGUGGGGACGACGUCAAGUCAUCAUGGCCCUUACGUGUAGGGCUACACACGUGCUACAAUGGCCGGUACAAACGGUUGCGAACCCGCGAGGGGAAGCUAAUCCGAGAAAGGUGUUCAUAGUCCGGAUUGCAGUCUGCAACUCGACUGCAUG
rnacentral:rRNA from 1 species